GACGAACGCUGGCGGCGUGCCUAAUACAUGCAAGUCGAACGCAGUGGGGACGGUUGAGUAAAACGUGGGUAACCUCCCCAUCAGAGGGGAUAACACUUGGAAACAGGUGCUACACCGAGACUGUUGGAUGGACCGUCGGUGAAUGAGCUAGUUGGUGGGGUAACGGCUCUCCAAGGCAACGAUGCAUAGCAGAGCUGAGAGGGUGACCGGCAACACUGGGACUGAGACACGGCCCAGACUCCUACGGGAGGCAGCAGUAGGGAAUAUUCGGCAAUGGACGAAAGUCUGACCGAGCAACGCCGCGUGAGUGAAGAAGGUUUUCGGAUCGUAAAACUCUGUUGUUAGAGAAGCGGUAUCUAACGAGAAAGCCACGGCUAACUACGUGCCAGCAGCCGCGGUAAUUC
rnacentral:rRNA from 1 species